AUGAACGCUAGCGACAGGCCUAACACAUGCAAGUCGAGGGGCAGCACAAGGAGCAAUCUGAGGUGGCGACCGGCGCACGGGUGAGUAACACGUAUGCAACCUGCCUGUAAGCGGGGAAUAACCCGUUGAAAGACGGACUAAUACCGCAUAAUACUAAAUUACUGCAUGGUAAUUUAUUUAAACAUUUAUGGCUUACAGAUGGGCAUGCGCAUGAUUAGCUAGUUGGAGAGGUAACGGCUCCCCAGGCAACGAUCAUUAGGGGUUCUGAGAGGAAGGUCCCCCACACUGGUACUGAGACACGGACCAGACUCCUACGGGAGGCAGCAGUGAGGAAUAUUGGUCAAUGGACGAGAGUCUGAACCAGCCAAGUCGCGUGCAGGAAGAAUGUCCCUAUGGAUUGUAAACUGCUUUUGCAGGGGAAUAAAGUGCAUCACGUGUGAUGUUUUGUAUGUACUCUGCGAAUAAGGAUCGGCUAACUCCGUGCCAGCCGCCGC
rnacentral:rRNA from 1 species